rnacentral:rRNA from 1 species
UUAAAUUGAAGAGUUUGAUCAUGGCUCAGAUUGAACGCUGGCGGCAGGCCUAACACAUGCAAGUCGAGCGGUAGCACAGAGAGCUUGCUCUCGGGUGACGAGCGGCGGACGGGUGAGUAAUGUCUGGGAAACUGCCUGAUGGAGGGGGAUAACUACUGGAAACGGUAGCUAAUACCGCAUAACGUCGCAAGACCAAAGUGGGGGACCUUCGGGCCUCAUGCCAUCAGAUGUGCCCAGAUGGGAUUAGCUAGUAGGUGGGGUAACGGCUCACCUAGGCGACGAUCCCUAGCUGGUCUGAGAG